GCGCAGCAGGCGCGAAACCUUCGCAAUGCGGGAAACCGCGACGAGGGGACUCCCAGUGCCUACGCUCAGCGUAGGCUGUUCCCGAGCCUAGAAAGCUCGGGGAGUAAGGGCUGGGUAAGACGGGUGCCAGCCGCCGCGGUAAUACCCGCAGCCCGAGUGGUGGCCACUAUUAUUGGGCCUAAAGCGUCCGUAGCCGGCCCGGUAAAUGCCUGGGUAAAUCGUGAGGCCUAACCUCACGAAUUCCGGGUAGACUGCCGGGCUAGGGACCGGAGGAGGGAGAGGGUACUCCAGGGGUAGGGGUGAAAUCCUGUAAUCCCUGGAGGACCACCGGUGGCGAAGGCGCUCUCCUAGGACGGGUCCGACGGUGAGGGACGAAAGCCAGGGGAGCGAGCCGGAUUAGAUACCCCUGUAGU
rnacentral:rRNA from 1 species